rnacentral:rRNA from 1 species
CCGGCGCACGGGUGAGUAACACGUAUCCAACCUGCCUCACUCUUGGCAGCCUUCUGAAAGGAGAUUAAUCCAGGAUGGGAUCAUGAGUUCACAUGUCCGCAUGAUUAAAGGUAUUUUCCGGUAGACGAUGGGGAUGCGUUCCAUUAGAUAGUAGGCGGGGUAACGGCCCACCUAGUCAACGAUGGAUAGGGGUUCUGAGAGGAAGGUCCCCCACAUUGGAACUGAGACACGGUCCAA